rnacentral:rRNA from 1 species
GAUGAACGCUGGCGGCGUGCCUAAUACAUGCAAGUCGAGCGAACAGACGAAGAGCUUGCUCCUCUGACGUUAGCGGCGGACGGGUGAGUAACACGUGGAUAACCUACCUAUAAGACUGGGAUAACUUCGGGAAACCGGAGCUAAUACCGGAUAAUAUAUUGAACCGCAUGGUUCAAUAGUGAAAGACCGUUUUGCUGUCACUUAUAGAUGGAUCCGCGCCGCAUUAGCUAGUUGGUAAGGUAACGGCUUACCAAGGCAACGAUGCGUAGCCGACCUGAGAGGGUGAUCGGCCACACUGGAACUGAGACACGGUCCAGACUCCUACGGGAGGCAGCAGUAGGGAAUCUUCCGCAAUGGGCGAAAGCCUGACGGAGCAACGCCGCGUGAGUGAUGAAGGUCUUCGGAUCGUAAAACUCUGUUAUUAGGGAAGAACAAAUGUGUAAGUAACUAUGCACGUCUUGACGGUACCUAAUCAGAAAGCCACGGCUAACUACGUG